rnacentral:rRNA from 1 species
GGUUAAGCGACUAAGCGUACACGGUGGAUGCCCUGGCAGUCAGAGGCGAUGAAGGACGUGCUAAUCUGCGAUAAGCGUCGGUAAGGUGAUAUGAACCGUUAUAACCGGCGAUUUCCGAAUGGGGAAACCCAGUGUGUUUCGACACACUAUCAUUAACUGAAUCCAUAGGUUAAUGAGGCGAACCGGGGAACUGAAACAUCUAAGUACCCCGAGGAAAAGAAAUCAACCGAGAUUCCCCCAGUAGCGGCGAGCGAACGGGGAGCAGCCCAGAGCCUGAAUCAGUGUGUGUGUUAGUGGAAGCGUCUGGAAAGGCGCGCGAUACAGGGUGACAGCCCCGUACACAAAAAUGCACAUGCUGUGAGCUCGAUGAGUAGGGCGGGACACGUGGUAUCCUGUCUGAAUAUGGGGGACCAUCCUCCAAGGCUAAAUACUCCUGACUGACCGAUAGUGAACCAGUACCGUGAGGGAAAGGCGAAAAGAACCCCGGCGAGGGGAGUGAAAAAGAACCUGAAACCGUGUACGUACAAGCAGUGGGAGCACGCUUAGGCGUGUGACUGCGUACCUUUUGUAUAAUGGGUCAGCGACUUAUAUUCUGUAGCAAGGUUAACCGAAUAGGGGAGCCGAAGGGAAACCGAGUCUUAACUGGGCGUUAAGUUGCAGGGUAUAGACCCGAAACCCGGUGAUCUAGCCAUGGGCAGGUUGAAGGUUGGGUAACACUAACUGGAGGACCAGAACCGACUAAUGUUGAAAAAUUAGCGGAUGACUUGUGGCUGGGGGUGAAAGGCCAAUCAAACCGGGAGAUAGCUGGUUCUCCCCGAAAGCUAUUUAGGUAGCGCCUCGUGAAUUCAUCUCCGGGGUAGAGCACUGUUUCGGCAAGGGGGUCAUCCCGACUUACCAACCCGAUGCAAACUGCGAAUACCGGAGAAUGUUAUCACGGGAGACACACGGCGGGUGCUAACGUCCGUCGUGAAGAGGGAAACAACCCAGACCGCCAGCUAAGGUCCCAAAGUCAUGGUUAAGUGGGAAACGAUGUGGGAAGGCCCAGACAGCCAGGAUGUUGGCUUAGAAGCAGCCAUCAUUUAAAGAAAGCGUAAUAGCUCACUGGUCGAGUCGGCCUGCGCGGAAGAUGUAACGGGGCUAAACCAUGCACCGAAGCUGCGGCAGCGACACUAUGUGUUGUUGGGUAGGGAGCGUUCUGUAAGCCUGUGAAGGUGUGCUGUGAGGCAUGCUGGAGGUAUCAGAAGUGCGAAUGCUGACAUAAGUAACGAUAAAGCGGGUGAAAAGCCCGCUCGCCGGAAGACCAAGGGUUCCUGUCCAACGUUAAUCGGGGCAGGGUGAGUCGACCCCUAAGGCGAGGCCGAAAGGCGUAGUCGAUGGGAAACAGGUUAAUAUUCCUGUACUUGGUGUUACUGCGAAGGGGGACGGAGAAGGCUAUGUUGGUACGGGCGACGGUUGUCCCGGUUUAAGCGUGUAGGCUGGUUUUCCAGGCAAAUCCGGAAAAUCAAGGCUGAGGCGUGAUGACGAGGCACUACGGUGCUGAAGCAACAAAUGCCCUGCUUCCAGGAAAAGCCUCUAAGCAUCAGGUAACAUCAAAUCGUACCCCCAAACCGACACAGGUGGUCAGGUAGAGAAUACCAAGGCGCUUGAGAGAACUCGGGUGAAGGAACUAGGCAAAAUGGUGCCGUAACUUCGGGAGAAGGCACGCUGAUAUGUAGGUGAAGUCCCUCGCGGAUGGAGCUGAAAUCAGUCGAAGAUACCAGCUGGCUGCAACUGUUUAUUAAAAACACAGCACUGUGCAAACACGAAAGUGGACGUAUACGGUGUGACGCCUGCCCGGUGCCGGAAGGUUAAUUGAUGGGGUUAGCGCAAGCGAAGCUCUUGAUCGAAGCCCCGGUAAACGGCGGUAGUAACUAUAACGGUCCUAAGGUAGCGAAAUUCCUUGUCGGGUAAGUUCCGACCUGCACGAAUGGCGUAAUGAUGGCAGGGCUGUCUCCACCCGAGACUCAGUGAAAUUGAACUCGCUGUGAAGAUGCAGUGUACCCGCGGCAAGACGGAAAGACCCCGUGAACCUUUACUAUAGCUUGACACUGAACAUUGAGCCUUGAUGUGUAGGAUAGGUGGGAGGCUUAGAAGUGUGGACGCCAGUCUGCAUGGAGCCGACCUCGAAAUACCACCCUUUAAUGUUUGAUGUUCUAACGUUGACCCGUAAUCCGGGUUGCGGACAGUGUCUGGUGGGUAGUUUGACUGGGGCGGUCUCCUCCUAAAGAGUAACGGAGGAGCACGAAGGUUGGCUAAUCCUGGUCGGACAUCAGGAGGUUAGUGCAAUGGCAUAAGCCAGCUUGACUGCGAGCGUGACGGCGCGAGCAGGUGCGAAAGCAGGUCAUAGUGAUCCGGUGGUUCUGAAUGGAAGGGCCAUCGCUCAACGGAUAAAAGGUACUCCGGGGAUAACAGGCUGAUACCGCCCAAGAGUUCAUAUCGACGGCGGUGUUUGGCACCUCGAUGUCGGCUCAUCACAUCCUGGGGCUGAAGUAGGUCCCAAGGGUAUGGCUGUUCGCCAUUUAAAGUGGUACGCGAGCUGGGUUUAGAACGUCGUGAGACAGUUCGGUCCCUAUCUGCCGUGGGCGCUGGAGAACUGAGGGGGCUGCUCCUAGUACGAGAGGACCGGAGUGGACGCAUCACUGGUGUUCGGGUUGUCAUGCCAAUGGCACUGCCCGGUAGCUAAAUGCGGAAGAGAUAAGUGCUGAAAGCAUCUAAGCACGAAACUUGCCCCGAGAUGAGUUCUCCCUGACCUUUUAAGGGUCCUGAAGGAACGUUGAAGACGACGACGUUGAUAGGCCGGGUGUGUAAGCGCAGCGAUGCGUUGAGCUAACCGGUACUAAUGAACCGUGAGGCUUAACCUU